rnacentral:rRNA from 1 species
CGGCAGCACGGGUGCUUGCACCUGGUGGCGAGUGGCGAACGGGUGAGUAAUGCGUCGGAACGUACCGAGUAGUGGGGGAUAACGCAGCGAAAGUUGUGCUAAUACCGCAUAUUCUGUGAGCAGGAAAGCGGGGGAUCUUCGGACCUCGCGCUAUUCGAGCGGCCGACGUCUGAUUAGCUAGUUGGUGGGGUAAUGGCUCACCAAGGCGACGAUCAGUAGCGGGUCUGAGAGGAUGAUCCGCCACACUGGGACUGAGACACGGCCCAGACUCCUACGGGAGGCAGCAGUGGGGAAUUUUGGACAAUGGGCGAAAGCCUGAUCCAGCCAUGUCGCGUGUCUGAAGAAGGCCUUCGGGUUGUAAAGGACUUUUGUCAGGGAGGAAAUCCCCAGGGCUAAUACCCUUGGGGGAUGACAGUACCUGAAGAAUAAGCACCGGCUAACUACGUGCCAGCAGCCGCGGUAAUACGUAGGGUGCAAGCGUUAAUCGGAAUUACUGGGCGUAAAGCGUGCGCAGGCGGUUGUGUAAGACAGACGUGAAAUCCCCGGGCUCAACCUGGGAACUGCGUUUGUGACUGCACGGCUAGAGUACGGCAGAGGGGGGUGGAAUUCCACGUGUAGCAGUGAAAUGCGUAGAGAUGUGGAGG